rnacentral:piRNA from 1 species
UAGACUCACAUGUUUGAAUGCUUGGUCCAC